CGUCAGCUCGUGUCGUGAGAUGUUGGGUUAAGUCCCGCAACGAGCGCAACCCCUAUCUUUAGUAGCCAGCGGCCAGGCCGGGCACUCUAGAGAGACUGCCAGGGAUAACCUGGAGGAAGGUGGGGAUGACGUCAAAUCAUCAUGCCCCUUAUGAGCAGGGCUACACACGUGCUACAAUGGCGUAAACAAAGGGAGGCAGAGCCGCGAGGCCGAGCAAAUCUCAAAAAUAACGUCUCAGUUCGGAUUGUAGUCUGCAACUCGACUACAUGAAGCUGGAAUCGCUAGUAAUCGCGAAUCAGAAUGUCGCGGUGAAUACGUUCCCGGGUCUUGUACACACCGCCCGUCACACCAUGGGAGUCAGUAACGCCCGAAGUCAGUGACCCAACCGUAAGGAGGGAGCUGCCGAAGGUGGGACCGAUAACUGGGGUGAAGUCGUAACAAGGUAGCCGUAUCGGAAGGUGCGGCUGGAUCACCUC
rnacentral:rRNA from 1 species